rnacentral:rRNA from 1 species
GCAGCACGGGAGCAAUCCUGGUGGCGAGUGGCGAACGGGUGAGUAAUGUAUCGGAACGUGCCCAGUCGUGGGGGAUAACGCAGCGAAAGCUGUGCUAAUACCGCAUACGAUCUAUGGAUGAAAGCGGGGGAUCGCAAGACCUCGCGCGAUUGGAGCGGCCGAUAUCAGAUUAGGUAGUUGGUGAGGUAAAGGCUCACCAAGCCGACGAUCUGUAGCUGGUCUGAGAGGACGACCAGCCACACUGGGACUGAGACACGGCCCAGACUCCUACGGGAGGCAGCAGUGGGGAAUUUUGGACAAUGGGCGCAAGCCUGAUCCAGCAAUGCCGCGUGCAGGACGAAGGCCUUCGGGUUGUAAACUGCUUUUGUACGGAGCGAAAAGGCUCUCUCUAAUACAGGGGGCUCAUGACGGUACCGUAAGAAUAAGCACCGGCUAACUACGUGCCAGCAGCCGCGGUAAUACGUAGGGUGCAAGCGUUAAUCGGAAUUACUGGGCGUAAAGCGUGCGCAGGCGGUUAUGUAAGACAGAGGUGAAAUCCCCGGGCUCAACCUGGGAACUGCCUUUGUGACUGCAUAGCUAGAGUACGGCAGAGGGGGAUGGAAUUCCGCGUGUAGCAGUGAAAUGCGUAGAUAUGCGGAGGAACACCGAUG